UGGCAACCUUGGUACGGGAUCGGACAAACGUCAACGCGUUGGCGCCGAAAAAGAAUUGUCAUUGUUAGAAAAUUGAUCGAAACUGCGACACGUUUUUUCCUGACCUGGCAGUUAGUUAGUUUUUAGUGAAUAGUUUUAGAGAAAACAUAGGUGAAAUCUAUUUGGCUAGUUGCGCGUGAUUUGAGUGCUCGCGGGUUUGUGAGUCAGAAGAGUUUGAGUGACCGUUCGGUUGUUCCGGUUAGGUGUACCGGGUUGAGCUCAAUUAGAGCGGUAGGAAAGAAAAAGCGUAAGUACGCAAGAAUACUUGUUUUGUACCCGAUGAUAAAUAUGAUUUUCGUCCAUUAGCUUCAAAUAGCCGGUGAUAUCCGACGGUUUAGGGUUGCCAGAGCUAGAGCUUAGGGUAAACGGCGAAACUUAUUUGUAAGUUCAUAAAAGAUUGUUUACAUUAUCACCAUUUAAUAAUAAAUGUAUUUACAGUCGAGUUCGUUCGCAUACAACGUACUACGGAACAGUUUUUAUUUC